AACGAACGCUGGCGGCAUGCCUAACACAUGCAAGUCGAACGAGACCUUCUGGUCUAGUGGCGCACGGGUGCGUAACGCGUGGGAACCUGCCCUUAGGUUCGGAAUAACUCCCCGAAAGGGGUGCUAAUACCGGAUAAUGUCUUCGGACCAAAGAUUUAUCGCCUUUGGAUGGGCCCGCGUUGGAUUAGCUAGUUGGUAGGGUAAAAGCCUACCAAGGCGACGAUGCAUAGCUGGUCUGAGAGGAUGAUCAGCCACACUGGGACUGAGACACGGCCCAGACUCCUACGGGAGGCAGCAGUGGGGAAUAUUGGACAAUGGGCGAAAGCCUGAUCCAGCAAUGCCGCGUGAGUGAUGAAGGCCUUAGGGUUGUAAAGCUCUUUUACCCGGGAUGAUAAUGACAGUACCGGGAGAAUAAGCUCCGGCUAACUCCGUG
rnacentral:rRNA from 1 species